rnacentral:misc_RNA from 1 species
UUUCCGUAGGUGAACCUGCGGAAGGAUCAUUCAUAAUAAAGUGCUUAAUGGCACUUUUUAAAAAUCCAUAUCCACCUUCUGUGCAAUGUUAGUUCUCGUCAAUCUUGGCCAGAUUUUUAUACAUCAACUCAUUUGUUAACUAAUUUGUCUGAAAAAUAUUAUGAAUACUUAAUUCAACAUACAACUUUCAACAACGGAUCUCUUGGCUCUC